rnacentral:lncRNA from 7 species
GCAGUACAGUACAUCCAGUAUAGCUUCCUCGGUCUGGGCGAGCAUGUGCUCCUCACCUCACCUCUUCCAUCCAAAGAAACUUCUCCUCCGUCGGUUCUUCAGAGCUCAGUCCAUGAGUCCAAGCCAAAGCCCCAUACUUUCAGAUCUGCCACGACGAAAAACGACGGUUCGAAUUCCCCCCCCAACCCGGCCCUGUUUUUUCUGCCGAUUUCCAUAGUUUUGUUCAAACGAAAGAAUGGAUACCAAUUACCAUCGCACUUUGUACAGCGUACCUGACUAAGUGAUUCCAGAUGCCGCCAGGGCCGCCUGUCGUCGUCGCAGCCGCGCAUCCCAGCCGACGUCCGCCUCACCGUGGGCCAACCAAACAUUGACCCAGAAGAAACCAUGAACGCCGCCGCUGCGUGCUCCACUGUAUCUGACUGUGUGUGUUCGUCGACCAAUCGCUGCAAGAAACUUCUCACUUUGUCAUUUUGGCUGGUUGGAUGCGGUCGGGUCGCGGGCGUCUCCUUCUCCCCCCAUCAAAUCGGGGUCGUACUGCAGAGCGCGAGAGCUCGUGCUGUGCCGUGUGCCCUCCUUCUCGGACAGUGAGAUACGCUGAUGUGUUCUCGUGGCGCAUCUAGCAGGGGGUUUCGUCAGGUAAUUAAUUAUUUCUUGGACUUCCCCCAUUAGCUUCUGAACUUGUUGUAGCCAGUACUGUAUAUAUCUGACCGAAACCCCCUUCUUAUUUUAAACCAGUUCUGACCAUACACUUUGGUGGCUUCCUGUCGGGAUCAAUCUGGCUGCUUUGUUUUCCGAAAGGUCCGUAUCCUGAUUGACGCCCGACGUACGUGUCCGUGUUAAAAUCGACUUAGCACAGUAAGAAUUCGUCUCAUUCCCAGCCUAGCUGAAAGUGUGCAGCUUUUAUACGCCUCUGAACUGGGCAAACCUUCGGUUAAUGAAUUAACUAAUUGUACCGGGCAGCAACUGGUGGGCUCUUUAAUUUGUGGCGCAGCUAGCUGUACGUAAGCCACAUCGAGUCAAAGACAAAACUCUCACAAGAGCUGGUCUGGUCACACGUACGACAAGCCUUGAGCGCCACUUCACCGCCGGGACAUCAGCUACCAAUACAACUUGCAUUUUCGUUCCUGCCUGUUCUUCACAUACAUAUGCCGUGUUGCCGUUGCCGUUGCAUGAUCGACGACGGUGUUACUUUACGUACUUCAGCUGCGCUCUUAUAUAUGACAUCGUCGUCUACUCGUGUGUCUCUGUGAACUGGUUUUCCCAAAGAGAGGACGCUUGGAGCAAGCACUACGGAACCUACAGCAGCAGGCUGUGUAAAACGCUACGGCUCGUUCCAACUGCUCCACUAAUCUGGAUGGUUACUGUCACCGAUAGAAUUUGCCUUUCCUUAUUAGUCCUCCGGGACAAAUAUCAACGGGAGGAAACCGUCUAAAGU